GCUGCUGCCCUCGUCUCCGCCAUGGUUUUUCCAGAACUUAUGCAGGAGUUGCCAGCCCCACCGAGGCUAUAGGAAGGACCGGAGAGAAAAAACCUGAAGCUUUAAAUCUACUCGUUGCCCAGUUAUUUCAAGAUUGUGUUCAAAAUGCAGAGGAGCCAGGAAGGAGCUCGGGCGGCCGCGUGGCUGGAUGGCAUGGGGACCUUAUGGCGCGGGCAGGCAGAUUUUACAAUAAGAGAGAUCAGAUCGUUGGACCAGAAUGCACCUCAGAUUUCUACUCUUUGCAUCACCAGUAACUAACUUAGGCCACCUGAUGGGAAGAACUGACUCAUUGGAAAAGACACUGAUGCUGGGAAAGAUUGAAGGCAAGAGAAGGGGACGACAGAGGAUGAGAUGGUUGGAUGGCAUCACCAACUCGAUGGACAUGAGUUUAAGCAAACUCCAGAAAUUGGUGACGGACGGGGAAGCCUGGCUUGCUGCAGUCCAUGGGGUCGCAAAGAGUCGGACAUGAUUGAGCAACUGAACUGUGCCAUGCAGCAGGGAGAGUCCUUCAGUCCUUUGGUGCCUCAGUUUCUCUCCUAAAAAGGCAAAGGUUGACAGGAUAGUCUCAAUUAUGUCCCCUUUGGAGUUAAUAUUCUAGAUGCUUCUGCUUUGGGGAUGCUAGCUACACAACUGGUUUGCAUCUCAGACAAAUUGUAUUUACUAAAUCAUGACAUGUGUAACUGCUUCCUAAAAAGCAGAUUUUCUAGAGAAAAAUAGAAGUAGAGAGAUUCAUUGCCAAAGCUGCAUAACAUGGUAAUUGUGGAACAAACAGUUACAGGAACAGCUUUUUAUUUUAAAACAAGCUUGGCAUUUUCAUUUGUUUGGGGCUUUCUCAGUGGUAAUGAGGAUGGCCCUUGCCAAUUAGUUCUCGCUCCCAGAGUCCCUGGAUGAGCUGCUUCUGUGAGAGAGAGAUUGGUCUUAAGAACCCAAGGCAGCCGGGAAGAAAGAUAUUGAUGCUGCAGCGCCUAGCAGUCUUUCAAAGAGGACGGAUGGAGGUGGGUAGCUAGAGAGGGGAAGACCCUGAUGAGGAGAAAAAGAAAUUAAUUUAGAUGGGAGCCCCGGAGACUGGACAGAGUUUAAAUAGUCUAACAGUGGUUGGUUUAUUAUGCAACCAGUAGUAGUCUGCUUCUGAAAGAAGUAUCCAUUCUUUCUUCUGUUUGGAGUCUUUCUCUUUGCCUCUAUCCCUCCUUAACUCUUUCUCCACCCCCACCUUCUCUUCUUAGCGUGUCCUUUCAUGAUGAGGUUAAUUUGUUUACCCGGAAAAGGGGAAGAAUGAGAGUUUGCAUACUGGUGAGAACAGGCUUCCUCUCUCAGAGCUACAAACAUUAAACUCUCCACUCUGCCCUGGGGAGGCUGUGAGCAACAAAAGAUGAUAUCUCAUUUUAAGAUGAAAGGCAAGAUUCUGAGAUCUUCAAAACUCCCAGCUAAUCAAAAUCCUGCUGAAGUGAAGGAAAGGGGGUGUGUGUGUGUGUGUGUGUGUGUUGACCCGCCACCCUGCGGGGUGGACAGUCUCUGAAAUGAACCCAUACAAUAAGCUCUGAUGAGCUCUGGUGUGGGGACGGAUGCCAAGGUGAUGGAGAGUAGGAGGAAGCAUACAGGAACCCUGCUGCAGCCAAGAGGUGUCUUAAAGUAGGGCAGACAGUCUGAGAAGAAUAUAUUUUUCAAGUAGUACAAUUUUGAUACUGCGAAGAUCAUAUUCCCAAGUUAGGGAAUUUGGAAACCUCAGUUCUCCCCCAAGAUCUGUUCCCUAUUAGCGUGUAGUCCUGAGCAAGCUACUUAACCUUUCUGAAUCUAAGUUUCCUAAAAUAAAAUGGACACACUCAUUAUUUCUCACUUUUUUUUUUUUGAGAAUAUGAAUUAGAUCAUCUUUGUACUAAUGCUGAGAUCUGUGUCAUGAUAUGACUUUUGAGCAUUCAGUUGCCAUCUGUACAAUGGGAAUAGUGAUACUUGGAGGGAUUUCAUGAGAAUUUAAUGAGAUAAGAAAGCCAGGCCUAGAAAAAUGCCCAAUACUUUUUUUUCUCUCCUCUUUCUUUGGAUGCUGGUUAUCUUGAGUAUUUGGGAAAUAAUAACUUAGUCUGUAUUAUUACUUUUGUUAUGAGCAUAAAAGUAUAAUUAAAGCUUUGAACUUGUUGGACAUCACAACAUGUGUUCCAAAGAAAACUGGAAAAGCAUUUUGUGUGAUUUCCUGUAUUUUAAAUUAUCAGUUGGCCAUUGAUAUUGCUAACUCAGAGCUGAUUCUAUAUUUGCAGCAUGGGAAAAAAAGGAUGCAAGUAUAAGAUCAUAUCAGCUGACAUUAUGAUAAACUGGUACCCUGUGGGCACGGACCAGUUAGAACAGAUACCCAUCCUAGUGCUGGAGCGAGGCCUCUGAGUCUCACUACUGUGACAUCCUAGACAUUAACCCUUGAAUUGCUGGACCCUGGGGAGUUUGGGGGAGGGGGCUGGGACAGGGUCUGGGGAAAAUAGGAAGUCCUUGAAGGACCUUGGGGAAGUGACUUUAUAAAUAUGAAGUUUUUGAUAUUUAAAAGGUAGAAGGCCAAACCAAUGCAGACAGAGUGUCCCUACUUAUCUAGAACUCAACAACAAUAUCAUGCAAACAAAUUAAAAUGUCCUUAAACCACCCAUUUUCCACCCAAACACGAACUCUGAAUCCCUUGUAAUAUUUAUUGGCAAGUUUCUAAAAUGGGCUUUUGUCACUGAACCUUACUCUCUUGGUGAGUCAACAGAAUGGGGUCAAAACUGGGGCAACUCAUUAGAUGUGCUCCAGAAUAGGCAUAGAACAAGGGGCUUGUGCUAAGGAAUGUGUACCUUACUCUUGACACUUUCCUACUAACUAGGGUUCUGUUUUCAUAAGUAGUUCUGUGAAAUCUGAGCGUAACAAUCAUUCUACAUUACAGGGUUUUACUUAGUUAAUUAUGCUCAGAACCUAGGACCUUGAUUGAAAUCAGGAUGUGACAGGAAGAAAAGAGAUUAUUUCAAAGGAUGGUUUAGAAGAGGGCAGACAUGAUGGAGCACUGCACUAGGACAUUUGGAAAUCCACAAGAAACUCUUCCUGAAGUUACUGGCUGCCUUGGAGUCAGGAAGAAAGGAUUCCGAAGAAGGGGGAGGCAUCAAGUCUGUCUCCCAGGUGGCUGACCCUAUGCACACAUACUUUGCUUUGGGCAUGUGUAGCAUCAGGUGCUUAUACCUGAUGCUUAUAGCCUAUUUCACCAGGCUCCAGGAUGAAGAGGAGACUGGUCACAUACAUGGAAGUUCUUGAUGAACCCACAGCUCUUCUGGGCAGUGCUAUCUGCAAACACAGAAGAAAUAAUGGAAUUGUAUCACCAAGUGAUACUUUCCCUUAAUUUCAAAGACAGUCAUGAACUCACCUGUGGCCCAUUAAAAAAUGUGAGCCAGGACCUGAAUUUGGGGGAAAGUCACUUGAAGGGAAGGGCAGCUGAGAGACAAAGAAGGCAAAGUCACUAGAGUCCUACAUAUAGUUCCAAUGGGGAUCUAUUGGAAGGUCAAUGGUGAUUCAUCACCACCAGUUCCUAAACCACUCUAAUGGCUCACUUGGAGGCAGGCCUUCAUGCAGAAAGUUUGCUCAGCAAGAGAUAGCUGCUAGGAUCACAGCUCAAGGCACAAAGCUUCCAGCUGAAGCCCUUAGUAAAGAUAGAUCCUGGUUUCAUUUUGCAGCCUAAGUAAACUGUCAUUAAUAAUAGUGUUUAUAUUUUUAACAUUCUAUUAUGCUAUCUUUUUUCUUUAUCCAAAAUUCCUGAAAAACAGAAUAUUCUGGUUAAUGGAGUCUUUUUUUUUUUUUAGUUAAAAAAAUUGCCUUUUGUACUACAAAGAGAGCAAUAGUUACAUUGAGUUGAAAUGUAGUAAAAUAUACUUAACAGUACAGUAGUUCUUUUAUGAUUUAAGAAGCCCUUAACAAACUCAUAUUAUUACCUAAAGCUCAUCCAGGGCACCAAGUCCGGGUAUCAAAUGUUGGUCUCAAUCUGAUGUCACCAUAGAAAUAUACUUGAGGAAUUGAGUUAAUUUUUAAAUGGAAUAUUUUUUUUUCACAAUUUCCUCAAACCAAGAAUGCAAAGACUGCAUCAGUUCAGUUCAGUUGCUCAGUCGUGUCCGACUCUUUGUGACCCUAGGGACUGCAGCACACCAGGUUUCCCUGUCCAUCACCAACUCCCAGAGCUUACUCAAACUCAUGU